rnacentral:rRNA from 1 species
CGGCACCUCAAGUGGUCAGGAUGAUUAUUGGGCCUAAAGCAUCCGUAGCCGGCGCUGUAAGUUUUCGGUUAAAUCUGUACGCUCAACGUACAGGCUGCCGGGAAUACUGCAGCGCUAGGGAGUGGGAGAGGUAGACGGUACUCGGUAGGAAGGGGUAAAAUCCUUUGAUCUAUUGAUGACCACCUGUGGCGAAGGCGGUCUACCAGAACACGUCCGACGGUGAGGGAUGAAAGCUGGGGGAGCAAACCGGAUUAGAGACCCGAGUAGUCC